rnacentral:rRNA from 1 species
ACGCUGGCGGCGUAGCCUAACACAUGCAAGUCGAACGAGGUCCAGGAAGCUUGCUUCCUGAAGACCUAGUGGCGAACGGGUGAGUAACACGUGAGAAACCUGCCUCGGAGUGGGGAAUAACUCGGGGAAACUCGAGCUAAUACCGCAUACCUUCACAUGAUCGCAUGGUCGAGUGAAGAAAGAAUUUCGCUCUGAGAGGGUCUCGCGGCCUAUCAGCUUGUUGGUGGGUAACGGCCUACCAAGGCAACGACGGGUAGCUGGUUUGAGAGAACGAUCAGCCACACUGGGACUGAGACACGGCCCAGACUCCUACGGGAGGCAGCAGUGGGGAAUCUUGCGCAAUGGGCGAAAGCCUGACGCAGCAACGCCGCGUGCGGGAUGACGGCCUUCGUGGUUGUAAACCGCUUUCAGCAGGGACGAAAAUGACGGUACCUGCAGAAGAAGCCCCGGCUAACUACGUG